rnacentral:lncRNA from 10 species
AUGAAAACAAUUCUCAGCAAUCAGGCUAUUGACAUUCCAGAAAAUGUCAACAUCAUUCUGAAGAAACAUACAGGUAUUAUGAAGGAACCCAGAGGUACCCUGCAGAGGGACAUCAACGUAAAACACAAUCUUAUUGGAAACAAAAAGUAGCAGCUCCAAGUUGAUAAGUGGUAGAAAAAUGGGAACUGGCUACCGUUUGCACUUUUUGUAGUCAUGUACAGAACAUGAUCACGGGUGUUAUACUGGGCUUACGAAAUGAGGUCUAUAUAUACUCACUUCUCAUCAACAUAGUUAUCCAAGAGAAUGGGUCUCAAAAUUCAAAUUUUCUUGGGUGAAAAAUACAUCUGCAGGUUUCAGAAGAGGCCAGGUGUUGCCUGUUUAGUAUCCCAAGCCC